UUAAAAGCAAUUCAAGGUGCGGCUGGGACUCACUGGCUCUCGCCACAGGUGAAUUCCUGCCUGGCUCACCUAGUGCUUGAAGCCUCUGACCCUGGGGCUGGCUCAGGGGAGUGGUGGGUCAGAAGUGCCUAACCUCCCUUUCUGCCUGUUUCUCCUCCCAACUCCUCCACUGGCCCGAGCAGCUGGGCGGGGCCUGCCUGCUGGCCAUCGGCAUCUGGGUCAUGGUGGACCCCACCGGCUUCCGGGAGAUCGUGGCUGCCAAUCCUCUGCUCCUCACGGGCGCCUACAUCCUCCUGGCCAUGGGGGGCCUGCUCUUUCUGCUCGGCUUCCUGGGCUGCUGCGGGGCCGUCCGUGAGAACAAGUGUCUGCUGCUAUUUUUCUUCCUGUUCAUCCUGAUCAUCUUCCUGGCAGAGCUCUCAGCAGCCAUCCUGGCCUUCAUCUUCAGGGAAAAUCUCACCCGAGAAUUCUUCACCAAGGAGCUCACCAAGCACUACCAGGGCAAUAACGACACAGACGUCUUCUCCGCCACCUGGAACUCGGUCAUGAUCACAUUUGGUUGCUGCGGGGUCAACGGGCCUGAAGACUUUAAGUUUGCAUCUGUGUUUCGGCUCCUGACCCUGGAUAGUGAAGAGGUGCCGGAGGCCUGCUGCCGGAGGGAACCCCAAAGUCGGGACGGGGUCCUGCUGAGCCGGGAGGAGUGCCUCCUGGG
rnacentral:sRNA from 1 species